CCGCCUAGUGAGAGGCGGUCCGAUUUGGCCCUUGGGGAGUGUCCGUCGCGUUGAUCUGAUGGAUUCACGUACACAACACCACAUUCUAUGAGAUUUUGCAGGCAAAAGUCCACAAGCUCGAUAUAUGGGACACCUGCACCGGCAUUGGAUUUGGCCCCGCAACAUCUUAAAGGAAGCAGGCUGUGAGCCAAGGGGAAGGCAGAGGACAGAAAUGAAUGUGUUUCCAGGCUUUCCUGGUGGUUUAUGGCAUUCUCCAAACUCCUAUGCAAGGGCUAUUCCUGACCAAGAAGAUCUAAAGAGAACGUCUCUGAAAUCAAGUCCGGAUGAAGGUAUGUGAUAGGGAUCCCUUGGUAUUGCGACUGAAAUUUGGCUCAGAGGACAUAAUGCCUUCUUUUUUUCCAGGCAAUUUGGAGAUUUUGUCCUGCCUUAGAUGCUGGUUAGAGGCUUUAGGUUUGUUACCAGUCCAGAAAAGAUGCCUAGGUAGUUCUGUAAAAUGAAAAUUCAUCAGAGUAUGUGUCAGUUGAAAAAUUGGAUGGAAAUUGUGUAUAGUGAUAAUUAAUGAAACAAAGCACUCAUUGAUGAAAA
rnacentral:lncRNA from 1 species